rnacentral:rRNA from 1 species
GAUGAACGCUGGCGGCGUGCCUAAUACAUGCAAGUCGAGCGAACAGACGAGGAGCUUGCUCCUCUGACGUUAGCGGCGGACGGGUGAGUAACACGUGGAUAACCUACCUAUAAGACUGGGAUAACUUCGGGAAACCGGAGCUAAUACCGGAUAAUAUAUUGAACCGCAUGGUUCAAUAGUGAAAGACGGUUUUGCUGUCACUUAUAGAUGGAUCCGCGCCGCAUUAGCUAGUUGGUAAGGUAACGGCUUACCAAGGCGACGAUGCGUAGCCGACCUGAGAGGGGGAGGGCCCACAAUGGAACUGAGAAAGGGUCCAAACCCCUAGGGGAGGCAGCAGUGGGGAAUUUUACGCAAUGGGGGAAAGCCUGAGGGAAAAACGCCGGGGGAGUGAAGAAGGUUUUGGGAUCGUAAAACUCUUUUAUUAGGAAAAAAAAAAUGGGAAAGUAAAUAUGCACGUUUUGACGGUACCAAAUCAAAAAGCCACGGAUAAAUACGU